rnacentral:rRNA from 1 species
AGUGAACGCUGGCGGUAGGCCUAACACAUGCAAGUCGAACGGCAGCACAGUAAGAGCUUGCUCUUACGGUUGGCGAGUGGCGGACGGGUGAGGAAUACAUCGGAAUCUACUUUUUCGUGGGGGAUAACGUAGGGAAACUUACGCUAAUACCGCAUACUACCUACGGGUGAAAGCAGGGGAUCUUCGGACCUUGCGCGAUUGAAUGAGCCGAUGUCGGAUUAGCUAGUUGGCGGGGUAAAGGCCCACCAAGGCGACGAUCCGUAGCUGGUCUGAGAGGAUGAUCAGCCACACUGGAACUGAGACACGGUCCAGACUCCUACGGGAGGCAGCAGUGGGGAAUAUUGGACAAUGGGCGCAAGCCUGAUCCAGCCAUACCGCGUGGGUGAAGAAGGCCUUCGGGUUGUAAAGCCCUUUUGUUGGGAAAGAAAAGCAGCAGGUUAAUACCCCGCUGUUCUGACGGUACCCAAAGAAUAAGCACCGGCUAACUUCGUG